GAUGAACGCUGGCGGCGUGCUUAACACAUGCAAGUCGAACGGAAAGGCCCUUACUUGCAGGGGUACUCGAGUGGCGAACGGGUGAGUAACACGUGGGUGAUCUGCCCUGCACUUCGGGAUAAGCCUGGGAAACUGGGUCUAAUACCGGAUAGGACCAUCGUUUAGUGUCGGUGGUGGAAAGUUUUUUCGGUGUGGGAUGAGCUCGCGGCCUAUCAGCUUGUUGGUGGGGUAAUGGCCUACCAAGGCGUCGACGGGUAGCCGGCCUGAGAGGGUGUACGGCCACAUUGGGACUGAGAUACGGCCCAGACUCCUACGGGAGGCAGCAGUGGGGAAUAUUGCACAAUGGGCGCAAGCCUGAUGCAGCGACGCCGCGUGGGGGAUGACGGCCUUCGGGUUGUAAACUCCUUUCGUCAGGGACGAAGCGAAAGUGACGGUACCUGGAGAAGAAGCACCGGCUAACUACGUG
rnacentral:rRNA from 1 species